rnacentral:rRNA from 1 species
CUACGGGGUGCUGCAGUGGGGAAUAUUGGACAAUGGGGGAAACCCUGAUCCAGCAAUGCCGCGUGUGUGAAGGAGGCCUGCGGGUUGUAAAGCACUUUCGGUUGGGAGGACUGCUUCUAGCACUAAUAUUGUUGGAAGUUGACGUUACCUUCAGAAGAAGCACCGGCUAACUCCGUGCCAGCAGCCGUGGUAAUACGGAGGGUGCAAGCGUUAAUCGGAAUUACUGGGCGUAAAGCGCGCGUAGGCGGCUAGAUCAGUCGGGUGUGAAAGCCCCGGGCUUAACCUGGGAACUGCAUCCGAUACUGUCUAGCUUGAGUACAGGAGAGGAGAGUGGAAUUCCACAUGUAGCGGUGAAAUGCGUAGAUAUGUGGAGGAACACCAAUGGCGAAGGCAGCUCUCUGGCCUGAUACUGACGCUGAGGUGCGAAAGCGUGGGGAGCAAACAGGAUUAGAUACCCCGGUAGUC